rnacentral:rRNA from 1 species
UACGUAGGGGGGCAAGCGUUGCUCGGAAUCACUGGGCGUAAAGGGCGCGUAGGCGGGAAGCCAAGUCGGUCGUGAAAUCUCCGGGCUCAACCCGGAGGAGUCGGCCGAAACUGGUUUUCUUGAGGGAGGCAGAGGAGUCUGGAAUUCCCGGUGUAGCGGUGAAAUGUGUAGAGAUCGGGAGGAACACCGGUGGCGAAGGCGGGACUCUGGGCCUACCCUGACGCUGAGGCGCGAAGGCGUGGGGGAGCAAACAGG